rnacentral:rRNA from 1 species
GACGAACGCUGGCGGCGUGCUUAACACAUGCAAGUCGAACGCUGAAGCCUGGCUUUUGUUGGGUGGAUGAGUGGCGAACGGGUGAGUAACACGUGAGUAACCUGCCCUCUUCUUUGGGAUAACGCCCGGAAACGGGUGCUAAUACUGGAUAUUCACUUGCCUUCGCAUGGGGGUGGGUGGAAAGGGUUUUUUCUGGUGGGGGAUGGGCUCGCGGCCUAUCAGCUUGUUGGUGGGGUGAUGGCUUACCAAGGCCUUGACGGGUAGCCGGCCUGAGAGGGUGACCGGUCACAUUGGGACUGAGAUACGGCCCAGACUCCUACGGGAGGCAGCAGUGGGGAAUAUUGCACAAUGGGCGCAAGCCUGAUGCAGCGACGCCGCGUGAGGGAUGGAGGCCUUCGGGUUGUGAACCUCUUUCGCUCAUGGUCAAGCCGCAACUCAUGGUUGUGGUGAGGGUAGUGGGUAAAGAAGCGCCGGCUAACUACGUGCCAGCAGCCGCGGUAAUACGUAGGGCGCGAGCGUUGUCCGGAAUUAUUGGGCGUAAAGGGCUUGUAGGCGGUUGGUCGCGUCUGCCGUGAAAUCCUCUGGCUUAACUGGGGGCGUGCGGUGGGUACGGGCUGGCUUGAGUGCGGUAGGGGAGACUGGAACUCCUGGUGUAGCGGUGGAAUGCGCAGAUAUCAGGAAGAACACCGGUGGCGAAGGCGGGUCUCUGGGCCGUUACUGACGCUGAGGAGCGAAAGCGUGGGGAGCGAACAGG